rnacentral:rRNA from 1 species
AAGUUCGUUGCCAUAGACCCGAAACCGGGUGACCUACCCAUGAGCAGGUUGAAGUGGGGGUGAAACCCCAUGGAGGACCGAACCGACCCCCGUUGCAAUGGUGGCGGAUGACUUGUGGGUAGCGGUGAAAUUCCAAUCGAACUCGGAGAUAGCUGGUUCUCCCCGAAAUAGCUUUAGGGCUAGCGUUAUGUUAGAUUACCGGAGGUAAAGCACUGAAUGGUAGCGGGGCCGAUAAGGUUACCAACGCCUAUCAAACUCUGAAUGCCGGAUAAUUGAUGCAUAGCAGUCAGACAGUGUGAGAUAAGUUUCAUUGUCAAAAGGGAAACAGCCCAGACCUACAGCUAAGGUCCCAAAUGUAUACUAAGUGGAAAACGAUGUGGAAUUGCGAAAACAACCAGGAUGUUGGCUUAGAAGCAGCCACACAUUAAAAGAGUGCGUAAUAGCUCACUGGUCGAGUGACUCUGCGCGGAAAAUGUAACGGGGCUAAGUAUACAACCGAAGCUUAGGAUUGUCUAAAGACAGUGGUAGGGGAGCGUUCUGUAUGGGGUGAAGUCGUAGCGGAAGCAGCGGUGGACUGUACAGAAGUGAGAAUGCCGGAAUGAGUAGCGAGAAUUAUGUGGGAAUCAUAAUGGCCGAAAAUCUAAGGUUUCUUGGGGAAGGUUCGUCCGCCCAAGGUAAGCCGGGGGCUAAGGCGAGGCCGCAAGGCGUAGUCGAUGCACAUACGGUAGAAAUUCCGUAGCCACCGAACUUUAAACCAGAGGGACACUUGAGGAUAGUCGAACCCGGGCGUUGGUUGACCCGGGCGAAAGGGAGCGAAAUAUAGUAGCGAAGUCGACGAUGCCUUGAGGCGAGAAAAGCUCUGGGGUAUACUAAGGUGCCCGUACCGCAAACCGACACAGGUAGAUGAGGAGAGAAUCCUAAGGCCAACGGGAGAAGGGUUGUUAAGGAACUCGGCAAGUUGACCCCGUAACUUCGGAAGAAGGGGAGCCUCGAAAGAGGCCGCAGUGAAUAGGCCCAAGCAACUGUUUACCAAAAACACAGGUCUAUGCUAAAUCGAAAGAUGACGUAUAUGGGCUGACGCCUGCCCGGUGCCGGAAGGUUAAGAGGAGAUGUCAGGGGCAACCCGAAGCAUUGAAUUGAAGCCCCGGUAAACGGCGGCCGUAACUAUAACGGUCCUAAGGUAGCGAAAUUCCUUGUCAGGUAAGUUCUGACCCGCACGAAAGGCGUAAUGAUUUGGGCACUGUCUCAACAGCCCGCCCGGCGAAAUUGUAGUACCGGUGAAGAUGCCGGUUACCCGCAACUAGACGGAAAGACCCCAUGGAGCUUUACUGCAGCUUAAUACUGGAAAUCGGUAAUUCAUGUACAGGAUAGGUGGGAGACUUGGAAGCCCGGGCGUCAGCUCGGGUGGAGUCGCCGGUGGGAUACCACUCUUGGAUUGCUGAUUUUCUAACCUGCGGCCGUGAAUCCGGUCGGGGGACACUGUUAGGCGGGCAGUUUGACUGGGGCGGUCGCCUCCUAAAAUGUAACGGAGGCGCUCAAAGGUUGGCUCAGCACGGACGGAAAUCGUGCAGUGAGUGUAAACGUAUAAGCCAGCCUAACUGCGAGACCGACGGGUCGAGCAGUAACGAAAGUUGGAGUUAGUGAUCCGGUGGUAUGUGAGUGGAAAUGCCAUCGCUCAACGGAUAAAAGCUACCCUGGGGAUAACAGGCUGAUCUCCCCCAAGCGUCCACAGCGACGGGGAGGUUUGGCACCUCGAUGUCGGCUCGUCACAUCCUGGGGCUGAAUUCGGUCCCAAGGGUUCGGCUGUUCGCCGAUUAAAGUGGCACGCGAGCUGGGUUCAGAACGUCGUGAGACAGUUCGGUCCCUAUCUGUUGCGGGCGUAAGAGAUUUGAAGGGAGCUGUCCUUAGUACGAGAGGACCGGGAUGGACGUACCUCUGGUGCACCAGUUGUCCUGCCAAGGGCAUAGCUGGGUAGCUAUGUACGGACGAGAUAAACGCUGAAAGCAUCUAAGCGUGAAACUCCCCCUAAGAUGAGAUCUCUCACUCUAUAUGAGGUAAGGGCCCAGGAAGACUACCUGGUUGAUAGGCAAGAGGUGGAAGCGCAG